rnacentral:lncRNA from 1 species
GAGAACUGUAAUCAGAUUCAUGGCAUGGUGUUUUAAAACAACUGGAUAAAUUGACUAUGAUUCAAGUUAUGUCAUGGUGUUUUAUCUGGAAUCCAAAAAACAUUGUAUUGUGAUUACAUCCAUGGUGUAUUAACAUCUGGAGAAUCAAUACAAAACAUUCCCAGAAUUUAAAACACCAUGAGUAUGAUUCAAGUCAUGGUGUUUUCU